UACGUAGGCAGCAAGCGUUGUUCGGAGUUACUGGGCGUAAAGGGUGUGUAGGCGGUUUUUUAAGUUUGGUGUGAAAUCUCCCGGCUCAACUGGGAGGGUGCGCCGAAUACUGAAAGACUAGAGUGCGGGAGAGGAAAGUGGAAUUCCUGGCGUAGCGGUGAAAUGCGUAGAUAUCAGGAGGAACACCUGUGGUGUAGACGGCUUUCUGGACCAUAGCUGACGCUGAGACACGAAAGCGUGGGUAGCAAACAGG
rnacentral:rRNA from 1 species